UGGGCGUAAAGCGUGCGUAGGCGGCUUUUUAAGUCGGAUGUGAAAUCCCUGAGCUUAACUUAGGAAUUGCAUUCGAUACUGGAAAGCUAGAGUAUGGGAGAGGAUGGUAGAAUUCCAGGUGUAGCGGUGAAAUGCGUAGAGAUCUGGAGGAAUACCGAUGGCGAAGGCAGCCAUCUGGCCUAAUACUGACGCUGAGGUACGAAAGCAUGGGGAGCAAACAGGAUUAGAUACCCUGGUAGUCCAUGCCGUAAACGAUGUCUACUAGCCGUUGGGGCCUUUGAGGCUUUAAGUGGCGCAGCUAACGCGAUAAGUAGACCGCCUGGGGAGUACGGUCGCAAGACUAAAACUCAAAUGAAUCGACGGGGGCCCGCACAAGCGGUGGAGCAUGUGGUUUAAUUCGAUGCAACGCGAAGAACCUUACCUGGCCUUGACAUACCAAGAACUUUCCAGAGAUGGAUUGGUGCCUUCGGGAACUUAGAUACAGGUGCUGCAUGGCUGUCGUCAGCUCGUGUCGUGAGAUGUUGAGUUAAGUCCCGCAACGAGCGCAACCCUUUUCCUUAUUUGCCAGCGGGUAAUGCCGGGAACUUUAAGGAUACUGCCAGUGACAAACUGGAGGAAGGCGGGGACGACGUCAAGUCAUCAUGGCCCUUACGGCCAGGGCUACACACGUGCUACAAUGGUCGGUACAAAGGGUUGCUACCUCGCGAGAGGAUGCUAAUCUCAAAAAGCCGAUCGUAGUCCGGAUCGCAGUCUGCAACUCGACUGCGUGAAGUCGGAAUCGCUAGUAAUCGCGGAUCAGAAUGCC
rnacentral:rRNA from 1 species